UCACCGGACAGAAAUAUUAUGCUGUGUCCAUCCUGAUGAAGAGGAGGCAGUAAAAAUGACUGCGUCUCAUCCAGACAGAUAUGUGAGCUCCAUGUUUCCACAGAACAGGAGGACGUAGCUGUAGAUGGAGGGGCGGAGAGCAACAUCCAUGACAUGCUGCUGCCAUCAGAGACAGACAUACUCACACCGGCUGCUCGUGCCGUGAGGUCUCGGGAUCAUCACGAGAGGUACUUACGAGCUGGUGAGGAAGCUACUCCAUCGCGACGGAUCAUCCGCUCGCAA